AGCAUGAUAGGGUGCGGCGAGAACAUUCUAAAGAAGAAAUGGUUCAAGCAUUAUCAUCCAAUACUAGCAGUGGGUUCUGGUCAAGACCUGAAGGAUGAGCUAACCCCUGGUGGCGAAUUGACACUGAAUUUGUGGAGAUGCAUACAACGGAUGCUAAGCGAGAAGGAGAUCAUGUACAGAGGGUAGUUAGAUAGAUUCAGAGGGAUAUUCGACCCUCAUUUUGUGGUGGAGCUUUGUAAGGAUGGUGAAGCAAAAGACUGGGAGUACAUCUACAUGAUGAUGGACUGUAAAAAGAUGGGCUACAGAAUCGACUGGCUUAAAAAGUUCAUGUUUCCGGUUAAUUACAUGGAUUGCUAGUCACUGUACAUCCUGGACAAGGGUACGAAAGUUGUGAUGGGGCUUGAUCCAACUGAGACAGAUGGGUCAGAUGAGACGAAGAUCAAGCACGAGCCCUUGGCAAGGAAGUUUCAGCAAAGCUUCUGCACCCUGUUCAAUGACGUUUAUGGUGUUGGAUUGGUAGACAGCUGGGUGGUCUUUUAUGUACCUGCUGGUGGCGCAGCACGAGCCAUGUAGCAGGGAAAACAGUAGUAUAUAUGCCAUGCACUACAUCCUGGAUUUCACCGGUCUGUACCUGUGAAGGACACUUACUCAGGGUCAGAUUGAGCAUCUACGAAAGAAGAUUGCAUACGAGAUAGUGGCCACGAAGGGUAACAAAGGAGAACUCCCGGACUUCCUGUACCAGGAGAUUGUUGAUUGAUGACGAAUCAGAAGUACCUGCAGUCUGUGUGCAGCCCGUCGAGAUAUUUUGGCUGUGCGUCCUCUUUGUCGGUAGAUGUGGAGGUUUAAUAGGGAAGCCAUGAUAGGGUGCGGCAAUAACAUUCGAAAUUAGAUUGUAAGUUUGGGGACCUAUGGACAUGCGUUGUUUUAAUUAUGUGGACCUGUACUUAAGUAUGUGGAACUGGGUGAA